rnacentral:rRNA from 1 species
AUUGAACGCUGGCGGCAGGCCUAACACAUGCAAGUCGAACGGUAACAGGAAGAAGCUUGCUUCUUUGCUGACGAGUGGCGGACGGGUGAGUAAUGUCUGGGAAACUGCCUGAUGGAGGGGGAUAACUACUGGAAACGGUAGCUAAUACCGCAUAACGUCGCAAGACCAAAGAGGGGGACCUUCGGGCCUCUUGCCAUCGGAUGUGCCCAGAUGGGAUUAGCUAGUAGGUGGGGUAACGGCUCACCUAGGCGACGAUCCCUAGCUGGUCUGAGAGGAUGACCAGCCACACUGGAACUGAGACACGGUCCAGACUCCUACGGGAGGCAGCAGUGGGGAAUAUUGCACAAUGGGCGCAAGCCUGAUGCAGCCAUGCCGCGUGUAUGAAGAAGGCCUUCGGGUUGUAAAGUACUUUCAGCGGGGAGGAAGGGAGUAAAGUUAAUACCUUUGCUCAUUGACGUCACCCGCAGAAGAAGCACCGGCUAACUCCGUGCCAGCAGCCGCGGUAAUACGGAGGGUGCAAGCGUUAAUCGGAAUUACUGGGCGUAAAGCGCACGCAGGCGGUUUGUUAAGUCAGAUGUGAAAUCCCCGGGCUCAACCUGGGAACUGCAUCUGAUACUGGCAAGCUUGAGUCUCGUAGAGGGGGGUAGAAUUCCAGGUGUAGCGGUGAAAUGCGUAGAGAUCUGGAGGAAUACCGGUGGCGAAGGCGGCCCCCUGGACGAAGACUGACGCUCAGGUGCGAAAGCGUGGGGGGCAAACAGGAUUAGAUACCCUGGUAGUCCACGCCGUAAACGAUGUCGACUUGGAGGUUGUGCCCUUGAGGCGUGGCUUCCGGAGCUAACGCGUUAAGUCGACCGCCUGGGGAGUACGGCCGCAAGGUUAAAACUCAAAUGAAUUGACGGGGGCCCGCACAAGCGGUGGAGCAUGUGGUUUAAUUCGAUGCAACGCGAAGAACCUUACCUGGUCUUGACAUCCACGGAAGUUUUCAGAGAUGAGAAUGUGCCUUCGGGAACCGUGAGACAGGUGCUGCAUGGCUGUCGUCAGCUCGUGUUGUGAAAUGUUGGGUUAAGUCCCGCAACGAGCGCAACCCUUAUCCUUUGUUGCCAGCGGUCCGGCCGGGAACUCAAAGGAGACUGCCAGUGAUAAACUGGAGGAAGGUGGGGAUGACGUCAAGUCAUCAUGGCCCUUACGACCAGGGCUACACACGUGCUACAAUGGCGCAUACAAAGAGAAGCGACCUCGCGAGAGCAAGCGGACCUCAUAAAGUGCGUCGUAGUCCGGAUUGGAGUCUGCAACUCGACUCCAUGAAGUCGGAAUCGCUAGUAAUCGUGGAUCAGAAUGCCACGGUGAAUACGUUCCCGGGCCUUGUACACACCGCCCGUCACACCAUGGGAGUGGGUUGCAAAAGAAGUAGGUAGCUUAACCUUCGGGAGGGCGCUUACCACUUUGUGAUUCAUGACUGGGGUGAAG